CCUACGGGAGGCAGCAGUGAGGAAUAUUGGUCAAUGGGCGCGAGCCUGAACCAGCCAAGUCGCGUGAAGGAAGACGGUCCUAUGGAUUGUAAACCUCUUUUGUCUGGGAGCAAAAGACGCCACGCGUGGCGUUCCGUGUGUACCAUAUGAAUAAGCAUCGGCUAACUCCGUGCCAGCAGCCGCGGUAAUACGGAGGAUGCGAGCGUUAUCCGGAUUAAUUGGGUUUAAAGGGAGCGCAGGCGGGAGAUCAAGUCAGCGGUAAAAUUGGGAGGCUCAACCUCAUAGAGCCGUUGAAACUGGUUUUUUUGAGUGAGUGAGAGGUAUGCGGAAUGCGUGGUGUAGCGGUGAAAUGCAUAGAUAUCACGAAGAACUCCGAUUGCGAAGGCAGCAUACCGGCGCUCAACUGACGCUCAUGCACGAAAGUGUGGGUAUCGAACAGGAUUAGAUACCCUUGUAGUC
rnacentral:rRNA from 1 species